AUUGCACGCUGGCGGCAGGCCUAACACAUGCAAGUCGAACGAGUGGCGGACGGGUGAGUAAUGUCUGGGAAACUGCCCGAUGGAGGGGGAUAACUACUGGAAACGGUAGCUAAUACCGCAUACCAUCGGAUGUUCCCAGAUGGGAUUAGCUAGUAGGUGGGGUAAUGGUUCACCUAGGCGACGAUCCCUAGCUGGUCUGAGAGGAGGACCAGCCACACUGGAACUGAGCCACGUUCCAGCCUCCUACGGGAGGCAGCAGUGGGGAAUAGUGCACAAUGGGCGCAAGCCUGAUGCAGCCAUGCCGCGUGUAUGAAGAAGGCCUUCGGGUUGUAAAGUACUUUCAGCGAGGAGGCGUUACUCGCAGAAGAAGCACCGGCUAACUCCGUGCCAGCAGCCGCGGUAAUUC
rnacentral:rRNA from 1 species